GUUGGCUUGGCUUAGUGGUUAAGCUGGAGGUGUACAGAGUGUAUGUAUGCCUGGGUUCAAAUCCCAGAGGUCACU
rfam:Laccaria bicolor S238N-H82 LACBIscaffold_31 genomic scaffold, whole genome shotgun sequence.